CUCUCACUUCGGAGUUCGGAUGGUGUCUAGCAACGUUGGGUACCUCGUUUCUUGUGUGUGUGAUCGAGUGGUUGCUGUUUACGAUGUGUUCAUAUAUCGCUUUGUACUGCUGUAAUGUGCAAAUUAGCGGACUUUAUAGCGGCUCUCUAUUUUCCGUCGUUGUCUUUCGAGCAGCGCCUGUUGUUCCGGUAAAAAUCGAGUUGAAUGAAUCGCCACAGCCCCAACGUAUAUCGCGCAGUGUUGACCAAGACCAAGUCAAGCAGGAAUUCUGGCAUGGUAUGUGGCUGCACGAAGGAUUCCGGAAAAGAAAAACAACAACAUGGCUAAUAGGAUGUUGCUGCCCAGGGAGUCCUGGCGAAGAGGUUUACUCAUUCCAGAAGCAAGAAUUGUAUCAUUGUAAGGCGAAUGGAAAUAAACUGACAUCGACUGAGA